rnacentral:piRNA from 1 species
UAAGAGAGAAUCAAAUGGAAAC